UACGGGGGGGAGCAAGCGUUUGUUCGGAUUUACUGGGCGUAAAGAGCUCGUAGGCGGUCUGUCGCGUCGAUCGUGAAAACUUGGGGCUUAACCCUGAGCUUGCGGUCGAUACGGGCAUGACUGGAGUUCGGCAGGGGAGACUGGAAUUCCUGGUGUAGCGGUGAAAUGCGCAGAUAUCAGGAGGAACACCGGUGGCGAAGGCGGGUCUCUGGACAGUUCCUGACGCUCAGACACGACAGCAUGGGGAGCGAACGGG
rnacentral:rRNA from 1 species